UUGUGAUGACGAGUCCCAAACAGGACGAAACAGCUGUUCAGUAC
rnacentral:hammerhead_ribozyme from 1 species